UACGUAGGCAGCAAGCGUUGUUCGGAGUUACUGGGCGUAAAGGGUGUGUAGGCGGUUCUUUAAGUUUGGUGUGAAAUCUCCCGGCUCAACUGGGAGGGUGCGCCGAAUACUGAGGGACUAGAGUACGGGAGAGGAAAGUGGAAUUCCCGGUGUAGCGGUGAAAUGCGCAGAUAUCGGGAAGAACACCCGUGGCGAAGGCGGCUCUCUGGGACGGUACUGACGCUGAGACGCGAAAGCGUGGGGAGCGAACAGG
rnacentral:rRNA from 1 species